AAAAAGAGGAAAUGGAAAAGGAAAUGGUUUUCACAUCAUACACCAACCUAAUGUGGAUGUACAAAUAUACAAAAGAUUUAUUUAAUAAACAAUACAUGGUACACAAUGCAGAUGCACAGUCCAAUACUAGUUCAGAUCCACUUUGGCUUAUGAAUGAGAUGCUAGAGGAAUAUUCUAAAAGAUUAGAAUCUACAAAUGGCCCAGUAGUAUAUAAAAAUGGAGAAAUUUUAGAAUAUAAUUCUGACAUGGAGCUGGUGAUUCCAAAGGAAACACCUUGCAUAAUAUUCAUUAUUACGCAUGAUAAAAAAUAUAUUCUUAAUGGACUCGGCUGUUACUAUGGUUGUGACCAUGUCUUGACUGCCUUACAUGUAGUUAAUUAUCUACAUUUAGGGAUUCUCAUUGCUUUUCCUACUAAAGACUUUAAACUGAUCUACAAGGCUGAGUUUACUAAAUUUUGUAACAGUGACAAAGCUCGAGAUCUGGCUUUUGUUAAAUUACUAGUCCCCUUGGAGAUGGUUUACAAAAUCAGAGCGUUGAAAUGGAUAAAAAUGACAGUAUAUACUUUUAUACCCGGGACCCUAAUUGUAAUUUUCAGAAGCAGGAGGGUGUAAUCUUAUACCAAUAUCCAAGCAAGUUUUUAAUGUCUGUAGCAGGUAAACCUGGAGACAGUGGCUCACCUGUUUUCAACCCUAAACAUGAACUGAUUGGCAUAUAUCAAGGUGUCUAUAAGGACUACGGCGUCACUUGUAAUACUUUUCCGCGCUUAACACCCGGUGUCCAAACGAAUGAUCGUAGUCUUAUAGAGUUACUCAAAGAUUUAAUGUUCCAUUUGUUACAUAAAGUUGGUUCCAAGCUUUUUUGGUAAACUGCUGAGGAACUCCUGUAACAACUGACCGGUGAUUUCUCAAAUGUCUAAAAAAAUAUCAAAAUAAAUAAAUAAAUAAUAAAAAGCAAUCUUUAAAAAUUUGCUCCUGCAUGACAGCAAAGAAAAUCUUAAUUUUUCUUCUUUUCUAUCAAGACGUUUGUUUUUCCCUCUCUGUUUUUCGUUUUUUACUUUCUGUCGGACUAAAAAAGCAAAGUCUUUGAAAGCUCGCCUCCAAGCGCCUACAGCAAACAUUUACUACACUUGUGCCAACACCUGAGAGAUCGACUCACAAAGAAAGUGGAAAUGGUCACUAGAGGUCUUCUCCGGUCUAAAAAAAUGUACCCGACCCGAAAUGACCCGAAUCACUUUUUACCAGAACCCGCCGAGCAUUUUUUUUUUAAAAGAAAGACCCGACCCGAGACAAACCCGAAAAAAAUAGACCCGAGUCCAACUCGACCCGAUGGCAAUUUUUUUACCUGACUGGACCCGAAUGUUACUUUAGUUCAACCGCUACAGCGUGGAUUCAAAAUUGAUCGACAGGUCUGUUUCAACGAAAAUUAGCUUACCGCCAGCCACACGAUGUCACAAGCGAUCUUGGCAAAUAGAGGAGAGGGUUGGAAAAGGACUCGAGUUGAUGCACACACGCGUGAUACAGUAGUUCGGGUCUUCUCGGGUCCAUUCGGUAAAAACCCGAUGCCGCUAUUAUUAUGUAUGCCCGACCCGUGUCUGAGGCACACGUGAAUGACGUUUGUCUUUCCCUCUCUGUGUUUCGUUUUUACUUUCUGUCGGACUAAAAAAGGAAAGUCUUUGAAAGCUCGCCUCCAAGGCCUACAGCAAACAUUUACUACACUUGUGCCAACAACUGAGAGAUCGAUUCACAAAGAAAGUGGAAAUGGUCACUAGAGGGCUUCUCGGGUCUAAAAAAAUGUACCCGACCAGAAAUGACCCGAAUCACUUUUUACCAGAACCCGACGUGCAUUUUUUUUUAAGGAAAGACCCGACCCGAGACAAACCCGAAAAAAUUAGACCCGAGUCCGACUCGACCCGUUGGUGGCUUUUUUUAACCUGACUGGACCCGAAUGUUACCUUAGUUCAACCGCUACAGCAUGGAUUCAAAAUUGAUUGACAGGUCUGUUUCAUUGAUUGACAGGUCUGUUAGCUUACCGCCAGCCACACAAUGUCACAAGCGAUCUUGGUAAACAGAGGAGAGGUUGGAAAAGGACUCGAGUUGAUGCACACACGCGAGAAACAGUAGUUCGGGUCUUUUCGGGUCCAUUGGGUAAAAACCCGAUGCCGCUAUUAUUAUACCCGACCCGUGUCUGAGGCACACGUGAGACUUUUAGACCCGAACCCGCUCGGGUCUCGGGUUGGACCUCGGAUUUUCGGAUCUACGUGGACCCAUGAGGACCUCAAUUGGACACUCAGCCAAACCCCACACCUGGCACAGAUUGUCCAGUCUUUAUAUUUACAUUUAAGUCUCUAUCAUUAGAUACAUUAACUCUGGUUCCCAAGGUCUCUUUUUACAUCUGCAGCAACAACAGCAGGGAAUCCACACUGAAAAGAGCAGCAAACUACCAAAAAUAAAACCCCAUCUAAAGCCUGCUGGUAUGAGCAGCUCUCUAAAAUCUUAAAAUAUUUAUGUCUGGACAAGACUGCAUGGUUUACAGAUGGCUCUCACCGGCUCACAUGUCAUAUGGAGAAAUCUCUGGCUUGGCUCACUAAUACAGAAAGGGACAGAACACCUUGUUAGAAAAAAGGUCUUUUAUAAAUAUUAAAUAAAUAACAAUUGCACAUGUUGCAUUUAAAAAAAAGUUAAAUCCUCUAGCAAAAAAAUAAACUAGCAAAAAUAUUUUAAAAAAUAUAUAUUUUAAUAUUAUAUAUUUAUAAAAAAUAUAUAAAUUCAAAAUAUAUUCAUUAUUAUUAUUAUUAUUAUUAUUAUUAUUAUUAUUAUUAUUAUUAUUAUUAUUAUUAUUAUUAUGGAAGGCAGGAAGGUAGGUCAAUGUGUAUGAUCCUCUGGAAACCAUUUCCUUUUCCAAUUUACCUGACGGCUGCCCAGAGUGAGGUGCUCAAAUUUAAUAAAGAUUUUUCAGAAAAAAAACGCCUCACUCUUACUUUACUGGACAAAAGACACCUGGAUGGAGAAUUGCGUCAUCAAUGCAAUCAUCGCUUCAGCAACUUUAGUCCAUUACUCUUUUCCAUCUGUGGACUGUAAUUAUAUCUAAUUGCAUUAUUUGGUGUCACCUACAAGAGGAUGGGUUCCUUUUUGAGUCUGGUUCCUCUCAAGGUUUCUUCCUUAUGUCAUCUCAGGAAGUUUUUCCUUGCCACCGUCGCCACAGGCUUGCUCACUAAGGACUUCAAUCUAUAUCCAGUAUUCUGUAACAAGCAUUUAUUGAAAGGAAACGAAUUGUAUGAAUAAAUUUGAUCUGAAUUGA